rnacentral:rRNA from 1 species
UACGGAGGAUCCGAGCGUUAUCCGGAUUUAUUGGGUUUAAAGGGUGCGCAGGCGGGGGAUUAAGUCGGCGGUGAAAUUUUGCAGCUCAACUGUAAAAGUGCCUUCGAAACUGGUUUCCUUGAGUGUAGAUGAAGUAGGCGGAAUUUGUGGUGUAGCAGUGAAAUGCAUAGAUAUCACGAGGAACUCCGAUUGCGCAGGCAGCUUACUAAACUACUACUGACGCUCAGGCACGAAGGCGUGGGGAUCAAACAGGAUUAGAUACCCCCGUAGU